rnacentral:snRNA from 1 species
AGCUUUGCGCAGUGGCAGUAAUGUAGCCAAUGAGGUUAAUCUGAGGCGCGAUUAUUGCUAAUUGCAAACUUUUCCCAAUACCCCGCCAUGAUGACUUAAAAUACAGUUGGCAUUGGCAAUUUUUGACAGUAUUUUUAGUA